GGAUGUGAGGGCGAUCUGGCUGCGACAUCUGCCACCCCAUUGAUCGCCAGGGUUGAUUCGGCUGAUCUGUCUGGCUAGGCGGGUGUCCCCCUCCUCCCUCACCGAUCCAUGUGCGUCCCUCCCGAAGCUGCGCGCUCGGUCGAAGAGGACGACCUUCCCCCCCGAGGAGAGGACCGGUCUUCGGUCAAGGGUAUACAAGUAGCUGCGCUCCCCUGCUAGAACCUCCAAACAAGCUCUCAAGAGGUACACAAGUCAUUUGAAAAACUGAAUUUGGAUAUGUAGAAUUUUCAGGAAAAAUAAAAAACAAUGGUUAUUAGAUUCCAGUCAUAUACUAGGCAUUCCACUAGACCAGUGAUGGAGAACCUA
rfam:Myotis lucifugus cont2.29733, whole genome shotgun sequence.